UGGGCAAUCUGCCCUUCACUCUGGGACAAGCCCUGGAAACGGGGUCUAAUACCGGGAUAAUACUCCUGCCUGUAUGGGUGGGGGUUAAAAGCUCCGGCGGUGAAGGGAUGAGCCCGCGGCCUAUCAGCUUGUUGGUGAGGUAGUGGCUCACCAAGGCGACGACGGGUAGCCGGCCUGAGAGGGCGACCGGCCACACUGGGACUGAGACACGGCCCAGACUCCUACGGGAGGCAG
rnacentral:rRNA from 1 species